rnacentral:piRNA from 1 species
UCAGAUGUCCCUACUAACUUGAUGGCGAU